UAGGGAAUCUUCGGCAAUGGGGGGAACCCUGACCGAGCAACGCCGCGUGAGUGAAGAAGGUUUUCGGAUCGUAAAGCUCUGUUGUAAGAGAAGAACGGGUGUGAGAGUGGAAAGUUCACACUGUGACGGUAUCUUACCAGAAAGGGACGGCUAACUACGUGCCAGCAGCCGCGGUAAUACGUAGGUCCCGAGCGUUGUCCGGAUUUAUUGGGCGUAAAGCGAGCGCAGGCGGUUAGAUAAGUCUGAAGUUAAAGGCUGUGGCUUAACCAUAGUAUGCUUUGGAAACUGUUUAACUUGAGUGCAGAAGGGGAGAGUGGAAUUCCAUGUGUAGCGGUGAAAUGCGUAGAUAUAUGGAGGAACACCGGUGGCGAAAGCGGCUCUCUGGUCUGUAACUGACGCUGAGGCUCGAAAGCGUGGGGAGCAAACAGGAUUAGAUACCCUGGUAGUCCACGCCGUAAACGAUGAGUGCUAGGUGUUAGGCCCUUUCCGGGGCUUAGUGCCGCACAUUAAGCACUCCGCCUGGGGAGUACGACCGCAAGG
rnacentral:rRNA from 1 species